UUCCUGCGGUGGUCGUAGUACUUUUUCUCCGCCACCCAGCUGUCCACCACCAUCCUCGGUGUCACUCCGCUUCCGCUGGCCCACAUCUGAUUUCCUCCGUAUUUGUUGUUUGUCAGGUUGGCAAAUUCGCACUUCAGUUUAUUCCCCUGCAUCCUCGCCAUCCUACUGGCGGCGGCCAUAAGAGACCGGUUCCAGGUCAGAGGACCUACUCCUACAACACCUCUCGCUUGAUUGUGUGCUUCCAGAAACUCUCUAGCAUCUGUCGUCAGCGACAGUGGCGGUGUAGCAGAGACGUUGGAUAAGGCGAGGAUAAUCAUCAGAAGAGGGAGGAUUGUGAUUGUGGAAGAAGCCAUUUUCAGGUUUGUAUUUUUCUUUCUCUAUGUUGUGCUUUAGGUUUGGGGAAUCAAGUCAAUGUGCACGUUCGUUCAAUUUAUAUGAUUGCGGAUAAUGGGUUAAGAUUCAUCAUUAACCCUCUUUCAAUAAUUCGAGUAAUUAAGAUAUAAUAAUUUAUGAUUUGCUAUAAGAGUAUUUUUAGAUCAAACGAUUGUAUGUUCAAAUUAAUUCCACAAUUUCAACAGUAAGCACUAAGUAUAUUAGAUUAGUGUAAAUUUCAAGCUCAUAAGUUGGUUUUCGUUGGAGGGAGGGGUGUGUGGGAAAAUGGUAUAAAAUCCAUCAUUUAUUCUUUCAUAAUAACUUAAUAAACCACUUGAGUUAUUAAGAUGUAACGUUUCAUGACACACUUAGGUGUGUUUAAGCCUUCAAGGGUGGAUAUUCGAUUACUUAUUCUCUUUUUUUUUUCAUUGCUUGUUUUGCCAUGGUAGGUUAGAUUUAAUGUGUUAUCAGAUUAGAGAUGAUGUUAAUGCAAGGAUGAUCUUUUGAAAGUAUAUAGUUAGACAAGAUUUGGAUGUUUACGGGUAUUUGAAUUUGUUUGUUGACAGAUGCUUAAUUCAAUUUUUUGUUAUGGCUUGCUUGAAUGAAUAUUGAGAUGUUAACACAUGACCAUAUGAAUUAUUAGUUUGCUAUUGGUAAGUAACAGAUAAGUUAUUAAAUUAAUGGUUUUUGUGGAUCUCUCUUGUCUUGAUUACAGAGGUCCUCACUUUACACUAUAAGAAAAGAAAUGAUUGAAGAAACAAGAGCUGCAUCUGAUCUCUACUGACUUCUUAUGGUAAGACAAGAUUCAAGAUCCCAAGUGGCCCAUACAAGCUCUACAUGCAUCACCGUUGAGCUCUGCACCUAUAAAUUGUCAGCUCCACAACCUCACAAAGCAUCGAUCGAGUGAGUUGAUCCCAUACUGGGAGUUGCCACAUCGGGCAGUGGGGUUCGAGAGUAGAAGCAAUCUAGCGGGGAGCUUUGAUUGUUGUAUUGCGGAGACUAAUAUACAUUCUUCUACUUCUUAUAUCCUUUGUGUUUGGUAUUGGUUAGUUCAUCAAUAAGAUCAAACAUUCUCUGGGUAACCUGGUUAGUAGGUUUGCGCACUAAGUUACUAUCCCAGUUCGCUUGUUUUAGAUAAAGAUUUGAAAUUUGUUAGGCGACAAAACAAAUGAGAAUUGUUCACAUGAUGGAUUAGUUUAUUCGUUCCCAUAUGAGAGUACCAGAUAUGCAAACUUUUUC
rnacentral:lncRNA from 1 species